rnacentral:rRNA from 1 species
UGGAUAGCUGGUCUGAGAGGACGACCAGCCACAUUGGGACUGAGAUACGGCCCAGACUCCUACGGGAGGCAGCAGUGGGGAAUAUUGGACAAUGGACGAAAGUCCGAUCCAGCGACACCGCGUGGGGGAUGAAGGCUUUCGGGUUGUAAACCCCUUUUCUGGAGGAAGAAUAAGGUUGGGAGGAAAUGCCCAUCCGAUGACGGUACUCCAGGAAUAAGCAUCGGCAAACUUCGUGCCAGCAGCCGCGGUAAGACGAGGGAUGCAAGCGUUAUCCGGAAUUACUGGGCGUAAAGGAGGUCUAGGCGGUUGGAUAAGUCAUUUGUGAAAUCCCAGGGCUUAACCCUGGAAGGUCUUGUGAUACUGUCCGGCUUGGGUGUAGGAGAGGAGAGCGGAACUCACAGAGUAGCGGUGGAAUGCGUAGAUACUGUGAGGUACCCCGAUGGCGAAGGCAGCUCUCUGGCCUAUUACCGACGCUGAAGCCUGAAAGCGUGGGGAGCAAAGGGGAUUAGAUACCCCCGUAGUCCACGCCCCAAACGAUGUUCACUUGGUGUCGGGAGCCUAUAUAUCUCGGUGCCGGAGCUAACGCGUUAAGUGAACCGCCUGAGGAGUACGGCCGCAAGGCUAAAACUCAAGAGAAUUGACGGGUCCCCGCACAAGCGGUGGAGCACGUGGUUUAAUUCGACGAUAAGCGAAGAACCUCACCUGGGCUUGACAUACUAGUGGUAAGAACCGGAAACGGUGAUGACCCUACCUUCGGGUAGGGAGCUAAUACAGGUGAUGCAUGGCUGUCGUCAGCUCGUGUCGUGGGAUGUAGGGUUAAGUCCCGAAACGAGCGCAACCCUUGUCACUAGUUGCCAGCGGAUAAUGCCGGGGACUCUAGUGAGACUGCUGGUGAAUAGCCGGAGGAAGGCGGGGAUGACGUCAAGUCAUCAUGUCCCUUAUGCCCAGGGCGACACACAUGCUACAAUGGGAAGUACAAAGGGUUGCAAUACGGUAACGUGGAGCCAAUCUCAAAAAACUUCCCCCAGUUCGGAUUGUGGUCUGCAACUCGACCACAUGAAGCCGGAAUCGCUAGUAAUCGUGGGUCAGCCAUACCACGGUGAAUAUGUACUCGGGGAUUGUACACACCGCCCGUCACACCAACCGAGUGGGGGGUACCUGAAGUCGCUCUUUUGAGGGCGCCUAAGGUAACCUUCGCAAGAGGGGUGAAGUCGUAACAAGGUA